rnacentral:rRNA from 1 species
AGCUCCAAUAGCGUAUUAAAGUUGUUGCAGUUAAAAAGCUCGUAGUUGAAUUUCUUCCGUGAAUUACACUAUUCCUUUGAAGGUUUUUUGUGUUUUUCGCGGUUUUUUAGUGUACUGAAAUGACUCUUCAUUGAGUUCACAUCAGUUUCAUUUGCUUUUACUUUGAGAAAAUUAGAGUGUUCCAGGCAGGUUUGUUGCUUGAAUACAUUAGCAUGGAAUAAUGAAUUUGGACCACGGUCCUUGAUUGUUGGUUUCGAGGGUCGGGAUAAUGUUUAACAGGAACAGUUGGGGGUAUUCGUAUUUAACUGUCAGAGGUGAAAUUCUUGGAUUUGUUAAAGACGAACAAAUGCGAAAGCAUUUACCAAGGAUGUUUUCAUUA